UACAGGGGGGGCAAGCGUUGUUCGGAAUUACUGGGCGUAAAGGGCGCGUAGGCGGCCUGCUAAGUCGAACGUGAAAUCCCCGGGCUCAACCCGGGAACUGCGUCCGAUACUGGUUGGCUUGAGUCCGGGAGAGGGAUGCGGAAUUCCAGGUGUAGCGGUGAAAUGCGUAGAUAUCUGGAGGAACACCGGUGGCGAAGGCGGCAUCCUGGACCGGCAUUGACGCUGAGGAGCGAAAGCCAGGGGAGCAAACGGG
rnacentral:rRNA from 1 species